rnacentral:rRNA from 1 species
UACGUAGGGGGCAAGCGUUGUCCGGAAUCAUUGGGCGUAAAGCGCGUGUAGGCGGCCCGGUAAGUCCGCUGUGAAAGUCGGGGGCUCAACCCUCGAAUGCCGGUGGAUACUGUCGGGCUAGAGUGCGGGAGAGGCGAGUGGAAUUCCUGGUGUAGCGGUGAAAUGCGCAGAUAUCAGGAGGAACACCAAUUGCGAAGGCAGCUCGCUGGGACGUGACUGACGCUGAGACGCGAAAGCGUGGGGAGCAAACAGG